GGCAACUUGGCCGAGUGGUCUAAGGCGGUGCACUCAAGGAGAUUUCCUCCUUCCCCUAUGGAUGGGGGUUAUGCACUCUCGUUCAGAGGCGUGAGUUCGAAUCUCACAGUUGUCA
rnacentral:tRNA from 1 species